ensembl:lncRNA
UGGAGAUGGGGCUGGAUAUGAGACUGGGGCUGGGACAGGGGCUGGGGCUGGAGAUGAGGCAGGGGCUGGGGCUGGAUUUGAGGCUGGGGCCUGGAGAUGGGACUGGGACGGGAGAUGAGACCGGGACUGGGACUGGAGAUGAGACCGGGACUAGGACUAGAGAUGAGACUGGGACUGGAGAUGAGACCGGGACUGGGACUGGAGAUGAGACUGGGACUGGGAUUAGAGAUGAGACUGGGACUGGAGAUGAGACCGGGACUGGGACUUGGACUGGAGAUGAGACUGGGACUGGAGAUGGGACUGGGACUGGGGGACUGGAGAUGGGACUGGGGCUGGAACUGGGACGGGAGAUGAGACUGGGACAGGAGGUGGGACUGGGACGGGAGAUGAGACUGGGACUGGGACGGGAGAUGGGACUGGAGAUGGGACUGGGACGGGAGAUGGGACUGGGACUGGAGAUAAGACUGGGACUGGUGAUGGGACUGGGACUGGGACGGGAGAUGGGA